GGCUGGUCCGAGUGCAGUGGUGUUUACAACUAAUCGAUCCCAACCCGUUACAGAUUUCUUUGUUCCUCUUCACUGCCAUUGCUGCACUUGACUAGCCUUUA
ensembl:Y_RNA Y_RNA Y RNA